CUGGUGUCCGGUAGUUUGUAUCUAAGUAAACUGUAUUGAACAUAACGACCAAUGUGGUUGUGCCUGAGAACUUGGCAGCCUGGGUGAUUAUCACUGGAACAUCUGAGACCUCCCAAACUGACACCUGGAAGCUGAGAUAACACAGGUGCUGGGACUCUGAAUACGAGUACUUCUCUCCGGUUGCCCCCUGAGCCCUUCUCAGACAAUGCUGGCAUUCCCAACCAGCACAGGAACCCUCUCAACUCUAAGCAAUGCAGAAAGCCGUGUGUGUACAGCCUCGAAAUGAAACCACCUAAUCCUUUCUAUCCGGCCAGGACAUCAGCUGACCUCAGCCACUGACGUUCAUGAUCGCAGGUCAUGCUUCCUCUUAAGCAGUGACAUCAGCCUCAUCAUAAACCCUGUUAUCAGAUCGAAGACCCUCUCUUCCUGUCAGCUUCAAAACAGUGACAGGAAAUGGAAAAGGGGAAAACACGUGGGAGUCUGAGGCCAGUCACUAAGCCUCUGGCCGAAGAGGAAGGAAAUGACACAGGACACCUGUGCAGCAGCAGGAGCCAGGCUGGCCCCACUCGGAUGUCAUGCAAACAAGGGUCAUGCUGCCAUCGAAUACCGAGCAACGUCCCCACCCACCCAGGCUGGUAAUGUGGCUCCUCGAAGUUCUCAUUUCCACACCCUGUCCUCCUUCCAGAAACAUCUCUUGGGACACAAGUUCUUGCCUUACUUUUUUUCCUUGAUAGUCAUGAACAAAUGUCCCUUUACCGCACAUACAGCACCAAUUACAGACCAAGGAAAUAGUCCCACCCAAGUCCAUCUUGUGAAUGGGUGAGUUUUUUGGAAUUGCUCACAGGAGCCGGGGUAGGAGUACUCACAGGUGGCAAUUCACUGGAAAGCCCCAUCCCAGCUUGGGGUGGAUUCCUGAAAGCUGCACCCCUGGAAUCCUGCUUUCACUUAACCUCCUGCCUUCCCUGGGCUCCAGCACCCCACAAGACCAUGAGCAGUUGGGAGGCAGGAAGGAAUAAAGGCUGGAAUCCUAGGCUCCCCUGAGCUUCCCCUCCUGCUAUUAGAAGUGUGAUUAGAGCCAUCACCUGUGCCCUUGCCGGCUCUGCUUUUCUGCUUAUUUGAUUGCAUGACUGUGUGGCCAAGGACUUGUAGGGGAACAGUAGUGAAUUCUGCCCCAUGAUGGCUGAUGCUCAUGUCACACCUGGAGGAAAUUCCUUCAGCCUACAGAAGCUAUUCUAAUAGCAUAGAAUGAGGCUCUGGGUUGCUUGUGAUUAAUCCAGGGGUCAGAUUGGGGACAAGACAGCACAAGAUGGUGUUAAAUUAUUUGGGACAUUCUGAGGCUGGUUCCUGGGCACGGAAAGUUGAGUAUUACUCUGUUGUGACUACUACACUUGUAUUUUUCUAUAAUAAACUUGUUUUUAAUCUUGGUUUUAUUUUA
ensembl:lncRNA